CCUAGAACCUCAGAAUGUGAUCUUAUUUGGAGACAAGGUCUUUACAGAGUUGAUCAAGUCAUUAUGAAGUCAUUAGAACAGGCCCUAAUGCAAUGGCACUGUUUUUCUUUCUUUUUUGUCAGUGGGGACAGGGUCUCACUCUGUUGCCCAGGCUGGAGUAUAGCGGCACAAUCUCGGGUCACUGCAGCCUUCAGCUCCUGGGCUCAAGCAAUCUUCCUACCUCAGCCUCCUGAGUAGCUAGGACUACAGGUGCGCCCCACCAUGCCUGGUUAAUUUUUGUAAAGAUGGGGUUUUGCCAUGUUUACAGGUGCGCACCAUCAUGCCUGGUUAAUUUUUGUAAAGAUGGGGUUUUGCCAUGUCUCUUGAACUCCUGGGCUCCAGUGAUCCACCUACCUCAGGCUCUGCAAGUGCUGGGACUACAGGCAUGGGCCAAUGCGUCCAGACUGGUGUUCUUAUAAACAAGGAAAAUUGGGACACAGAGACACACACAAAGAGACAAAGAUGUGAGAUACAGGAAGAAUGUGAAGAUGGUCAUCUAUAAACCAAAGAAGGGCCUGGGACAGACCCUACCCUCUCUGUCCUCACAGGAAACCAACCCUGCCCACACCUUGAUCUUGAACUUCUAGCUUCCAGAACUGCGAGAAAAUAAAUAUCUACUGUUUAAGCCAUCCAGUUUGUGGUACUUGAUUACAACAACCCUAGCAAAGGAGCACAAAGGGCAAGCAAUUUGGUCGUGCUGGAAUAACACUCUCUGGGUGUUGGUUUACCUUUUCUGCCUGCAAAGUCUAUCAGCCAGCAUUACUGUCUGGGAUCUCAUGGAGUGCCUGAUUCACAGGCAUGGAUCCCACACAACACAGCAUCUGACCAGGAGGUGACAUCACAACAAAGCUCCAGGAGUCACCUGGCCCUAUCACACAUGCACCACCCAGAAGUAAUCAGCCUGAAAGAACAUCAGGACUGCUUCCUGGAGAAACAGCUGACUUACCGGUUCAGAGGCAACACUCUGCAAAGAUGGGUGCCAUCUUCCAAGAUGCUGUAUGCAUCUUUUUUUUUUUUUUUGAGACGGAGUUUCACUGUUGUUACCCAGACUGGAAUGCAAUGGCACGAUCUCGGCUCACCGCAACCUCCGCCUUCUGGGUUCAAGCAAUUCUCCUGUCUCAGCCUCCCGAGUAGCUGGGACUACAGGCGCGCGCCACCAUGCCCAGCUAAUUUUUGUGUUUUUAGUAGAGAUGGGGUUUCACCUCGUUGACCAGGAUGGUCUUGAUCUCUUGACCUCGUGAUCCACCUGCCUUGGCUUCCCAGAGUGCUGGGAUUAUAGACGUGAGCCACCGCGCCCGGCCGCUGUAUGCAUCUUGACUCACAGACCUGUUUACUGGGUAUUGUCUCUAACAGGAAGAAUAUAUGGGUCCUGGAACAAUGGUCCCAUCCAAGGGAUUCCAUUCUUGCCAGGAAACGCUGCUAGAGUCCCAUUGAACUUUAAAUUAUUGCUACUGUCUUAGUACUUGGAUUCCUGUGUCCAGAAGCAGGCUGCAAAGAAGGUCAUCUUGGUAGGCGCAGUUGACCCUGAUUUCCAGCUCAACAAUCCAGAAUUGACAACUCAAGGUAAUUUCUUAUGGUUUAGACUAGAAUACAUUCUAAUUUUGCUUGAGCUUAUUUUUUUCCUAAAAAGUAAUGUUAAAGAUCUUUAGUGAUAAUUCCUAGCUAUGAAUGUAGUUGGAAAACAUUGCCUUCUGUAGUACGUAAGAAUAAUUGAAUGUCAGUACAUAAAACUGAACAGGAGCAAAAAUAACAGUACUUCUGGAAAUUUGACUUAAGUCAUGGAAAUUUACUUGACUUUGGGCUUGAAGUAAACAAUAUGUAAUAAGUAAUUUAAGCGGUGAACUGAAAAUUAAGGGGAAACAUGAUUUCUAUUUAGAAUAAAGAUGGUAUUUUAGUUGACAUAACUGUUUUGAGAUCAGUGGCAAAAUCUUCCUAGUUUUAAAAAAGAAAUUUCAGGUUAGAAACUCUAUUGCCUAGGAAAGCUUACAGAUGUAAGGACUUUAGUAGAGCUAGCCUCCCCACUCCAAGAACACACAGGGGCACACCUAGUUCCUAAGCAACCCACUCCCAAAUGAGGUUCACUUAUAGGAGAAAGAAUAGCUUUCCCAGUCUUCAUUUUUAGCUACCGUUAAAGUUUUAGGCGUUUUCCCCCAUCAUGUAAUGCCCGUGAGGAGGGCUUCCCCCAUAAAGGGGCAAGCAGAAAAAGCAGGGGGUUGGGGAGCAGGAUUCUAGCAGACCCUGAUAAGGACUCCUGCCUUUAGAGUAAGCCAGCUUGCGCGUUAGGACGCUGCAAGUCACAUGAAGAAGGCCAGCGAAGAGAGGCUGCUUCACACACUGUGGUUUACUACACAAGGAGAAGAAACCCACCCAAGAAAAUUCAAGGAGGUCGGCUUUCAGAGACCACCGUCCCACUCUGCCCCCCAAUCUCCUUUCCUACAAGUCUUCCUCUUAAGUCUUUAUGCCAACACUUUCCCGCUUUUCCUUCCCACAGCCUUCUUCUUUAGAAUGAAAGAAAAAAGCUUUAUACCAACACUUCCCAGCUUUCCCCUACUUUUUCACCACAACCCAUGCAAGCUCACAACCUCGCCCAGUCACAGAUCCUACCAACUGCAGGUAGCUUGGCUACCCUUCGCCAUUUUAUAGACGGCGAAGUUCCCGCCCCCCCCAGCCCCAGAGCACUCUGGGUGAGCCGCUACUCCUCUGGUUUCUCAUUGGCUCUCUCACUCUCAAUCAACAGCUCGUUCCCAGCCCCUCCAAGCAUUUCCUGGUCCACGUGACCAAUAGCGGCAAGAAGAAGUGGAGGUUUGUUGUCCGGCUGUACACAGCACAGGCCGGAAAGGUAGCUUCCCACCGCCAGCGGCUGCUGUGAUCAGAAAACGAGCUGGCUGCCUCUGGGUGAUGAUGGCUGCGUGAGUGCCUGCCAUGGCCCACCAGAAGUGUGAGACCAUGGGGAGCAGCAUGUUGGACCACAGGGUGAGGCCAGUCCCUGUCUCCCGUGGCCAGGAGCGAGGACGUGGAGCUGCCCUAGGAAGGCUGUGUGCCCGAGGGCCAGGAGCUGGCUGCCCUGUGGCCAGAGAUCCCCAUGCCCGAGGAGCAGGAGUGCCACUACCACAGCCCUGAUGGGGACUCUAGCUCCAACUACAUGAAUAACACCUCUGAGGAGGAGGACUGUGACAAAGGCCUGCCCGAGGAAGAGGGCAUCACCUACUAUAUCCAUCCUGGCAAUUGAUUUUUAUGUGGUAGUUUUUUAAAUCUUGCUACCUUGUUUAAUUUAUCUGUUAGUUCUAACAAGUAUCAUGGGGCAGAAUUUUACACAGUAGGAUACAGCAUUGGGUAGAGUUGUGAGGCUCCCAAUCCAGGCCCUAACUCCAAGACUAUAUUCCUAGACACACCCUGGGCCAAAAGGGAACCUGCUGCCUUGAAGGAAAGGCCCCAUCCUGGCAGGAUUUAUCUCCUAAGAGCCCUAGGGUCCGGAAUAACCAGUAGUGAUACCUAGGUAGUAAACUAUGGGCCUUGGGCUCUAGACAUGCUGGCUUCAGGGGUAACCCAGCAUAUUUGCAGCUGUGAUGGCUAUGGCAAAAGACCCCUGAUGUUUGAGAAAAGCAGAGGGAAAAUUAAAGGGAACUUCAUCUUGCACCUUAGGUGCCAGCCUGGCCACAAGGCGGCAGAGCAAAAGGCAGGCCCUUGGGGGUCCCUGAGUCUAGGCCUAGGCUCUUAGCAUUUCUGGACCUGCCUUGGGCCAGGGGACCCUCUUCCCAUGUGUCAGGGGAGGGACCUGGUGAAAGGGGAUUAGAUCAUGGCAGCAGAUUUCCCCCAUGCUGUUCUUAUGAUCGUGAGUGAGUUCUCAUGAGAUCUGAUAGUUUAAAAGUGUAGCACUUUUCUCAUCAUUCUCUUUCUCUCUUGCCACCAUGUAAGACGUCCCUUGCUUCCUCUUUGCUUAAGUUUCCCAUGGCCUCCCCAGGCCAUGUGGAACUGUGAGUCAAUUAAACCUCUUUUCUUUAUAAAUUACCCAGUCUCAGGUAGUUCUUCAUAGCAGUGUGAAAAUGAACUAAUACACCAGGCAGUACAUGUGUAGAAUGUACAGGUUUGUUAUAUAGGUAAACACAUGCCAUGAUGGUUUGCUGCAUCCGUCUCCCCACUACCUACAUUAGGUAUUUCUCCUAAUGUUAUCCCUCCCCAAUCCCCCACCCCCUGCUAAUUACUCCCCUAUCCCCCACCCCUUGACAGGCCCUGGUGUGUGAUGUUCCCCUCCCUGUUUCCAUCUGUUCUCAUUGUUCAACACCCACUUAUGAGUGAGAACAUGCAGUGUUUGGUUUUCUGCUCUUGAGUCAGUUUGCUGAGAAUGAUGGCUUUCAGCAUCAUCCAUGUCCCUGCAAAGGACAUGAACUUUUUUUAAAUGGCUACAUAGUAUUCCAUGGUGUAUAUGUGUUACAUUUUCUUUAUCCAGUCUAUCCUUGAUGGGCAUUUGGAUUGGUUCCAAGUCUUUGCUAUUGUAAACAGUGCUGCAAUAAACAUACAUGUGCAUGUGUCUUUAUAAUAGAAGGACUUAUAAUCCUUUUGGUAUAUACCCAGUAAUGGGAUUGCUGGGUCAAAUGGUAUUUCUAGUUUUAGGUUCUUGAGGAAUCGCCACACUGUCUUUUGCAAUGGUUGAAUUAAUUUACUCUUCCACCAACAGUGUAAAAGCGUUCCUAUUUCUCCACAUCCUCUCCAACAUCUGUUGUCUCCUGAUUUUUUUAAUGAUCACCAUUCUAACUGGCAUGAGAUAGUAUCUCAAUGUGGUUUUGAUUUGCAUUUCUCUAAUUAUCAGUGAUGAUUAGCUUUUUUUCAUAUGUUUGUUGGCUGCAUAAAUGUCUUCUUUUGAAAUGUGUUCAUAUCCUUUGGGCAAAGGAUAUGAUGAGGUUUUUUUUUUUUCUUGUAUAUUUGUUUAGAUUCUUUGUAGAUUCUGGAUAUUAGCUCUUUGUCAGAUGCGUGGAUUGCAAAUAUUUUUUUCUCAUUCUCUUGGUUGCCAGUUCACUCUAAUGAUUGUUUCUUUUGCUAUGCAGAAGCUCUUAAACUUAAUUGGAUCCUGUUGGGAAAAGCAGCAAAGGAGAAAGGGCUUACAGAGUGCCUACAUAAAUUGGUUAUGAGUAACAUGUAAAUAGGGGGCAACCAACUGCAGAAGGCCACAGAAGGCCUCUGGGGAGGAAGGCCUCUCUAUGCCUCAUGUUCUGGUACAGGGUGACGUAGGCUCUGUUACCAUAAACAUUGUGCUCAAGGACAUAAAACCCCUUUGUAGCACUAUGACGUAGCCAGACUUGUAGGUUCCUUGUAAGGCCCGAGUUCCAUCAGCUGCACAUAGGUAAUAAGUUAAAGAUAACCACAUGUUCUUGUUUUGUGAAACUCUCAAACUGCCACUGUUAUCUGUCUUUAGAAUGAUACACCAGUUCUGGCUCACUGAUUCACCCCACCAUCACCCUCUCCUACCAUCGCUUCACCUCUACCCUGUAGAUCAAAGUAAUUGUAACCCCAAUAAAUAGAGUGGAUGAUCAGAGCUUGGGGAUGGCACCCUGGUCCCACUGUCUCUCUUAAUCUGUCUUUUUCUCAUUCCUUUGUCACCACCAAACUCGGGAUACCCAUGGGUGAUAUAGGGCAGGCUGUCUACAUUCUGGUGCCUAACAUGGGGCUCAUGGGUUCCUACAUUCUGGCCCCCACUGUGUGGGGCUCAUGGAUUCCCUACGAAUCCUAUUUGUCUAUUUUGGCUUUUGUUGCCAUUGCUUUUGGUGUUUUAGUCAUGAAGUCCUUGCCCAUGCCUAUGCACUUGUUACCCAGACUGGAAUGCAAUGGUGCGAUCUUGGCUCACCACAACCUCCGCCUCCUGGGUUCAAGCAAUUCUCCUGUCUCAGCCUCCCGAGUAGCUGGGACUACAGGUGCACACCACCAUGCCCAGCUAAUUUUUGUAUUUUUAGUAGAGACGGGGUUUCACCAUGCUGACCAGGAUGGUCUCAAUCUCUUGACCUCCUGAUCCACCCGCCUCGGCCUCCCAAAGUGCUGGGAUUAUAGGCAUGAUCCACUGUGCCCGGUCAGGUUUAAAUCUUUAAUCCAUCUGGAGUUAAUGUUUGUAUAAGGUGUAAGGACUUUUUUACUUCCUUGUAGUCAAAUUUUGGUAAUUUAUUCCUCAUAUAGGUGCUUACAGCUGUGUAUUUCAUGCUAAGCACUAUUUCAUGCUAUGCACUUACAGAUGCAUCUCGUAAGUUUUGUUGUUUUCUUUUUCUUCAUCUCUAGACAUUUUCUAAUUUCCUUUAUUAUUUCUUGUUUGACCUACUGUCCUUUGAGUUGUGUGUUGUUUAAUUUCUACAUAUCUGUGAAUUUCUCUGCUUUUCUUCUGUCAUUUUUUUUUAAAUUUUAUUUCAUUGUGAUUGGAGAACAUACUUUGUAUGAUGUUAGGUCUAUCAAAUUUUUUAUCAUGAGGUAUCUUUGAGUUUAUCCUCUCUGAAAUUUGUUGAGCUUUUGAUAUUUCUAAAAAAAUCAAAUUUUGGAAGUUUUUAACCAUUACCUUUUUAUUUCUGUUACUCUAAUUAUAUAAUCUCAAUUGAUCUAACUUGAAGUUUCCUAAUUCUUUUUCUGACUGUUCAACUCUGCUGUUUAGCCCAUCUAGUGAAUUUUUCAUUUCAGUUACUGUGGUUGUUCACUCCAUAUUUUCUAUUUGGUUCUUUUUUAAGAAAACAUUCUGUUUCUUUAAACUUUAAGUUCGGGGGUACAUGUACAGGUUUGCCACAUAGGUAAACUUGUUUCAUGGGGGGGUUGUUGUACAGAUUAUUUCAUCACCCAGGUAUUAAGCCUAGUACUGAUUAAUUAUUAUUCCUGAUCCAGUAUUUACUAUUUUGUGAGACACUGCCCUCAUACUUUCCUAUAGUUCUCCUGACAUGGUUUAUUUUAACUCUUUGACGUAACUCAUUUAGAAUAGCUGACUUAGACUUUGUCUAAUCAGUCCAAUUUCCUCAAGAACAGUUCUCUACUGACUGCUUUUCCCCCUUGGGGCCAUAUAUUCUUAUUUCUUUGCAUGAUUCAUCAUAUGUAUUUGAUGAAAACUGGACACCUUAAAUUAUGUGGCAGCUCUGGAAAUCAGAUUUGCCCCUUGCCCCAGGUUUUGUUAUUGUGAUUAUUUAGCAUUGUUUGAGUAAUAUUUCUGAGCUAAAUCUAUAAAGUCUGUAUUUUUUGUUGUAAUGAAGUUCUGGAUCAGUUCACUUAGUGGUCAGCAAACUAUUGGAGAGAUUUUCUUAAACAGUGGGAAGCAGAGUCUCCCAGUUUUUGCCAAGGGCGUCUGAAUAUGUGUCAGGCUCGCCUUUAACAUUCAGCCAGGCAGCAUGUUUGUAAAUUCCUUGGGAUUUUCUAUGUAAACAAUGACAUAAUCUUCAAAUAAAGACAGUUUUACUUUU